rnacentral:rRNA from 1 species
UACGUAGGGUGCAAGCGUUUUAAUCGGAAUUACUGGGCGUAAAGCGUGCGCAGGCGGUGAUGUAAGACAGAUGUGAAAUCCCCGGGCUCAACCUGGGAACUGCAUUUUGUGACUGCAUUUUGCUGGAGUGCGGCAGAGGGGGGAUGGAAUUCCGCGUGUAGCAGUGAAAUGCGUAGAUAUGCGGAGGAACACCGAUGGCGAAGGCAAUCCCCCUGGGCCUGCACUGACGCUCAUGCACGAAAAGCGUGGGGGAGCAAACAGG